GCUUGCCCAUCACGUGUUGUGGAUCAACAUUCGAUGGACGUGCCUGAGAUGGGGUGACACUGCUUCCUUGAAAACAUUUUCUCGAACGGCGCGAUGCUCACUCAGACUCCUCCCUUUCCUAGUUUUGUUCAGGUCACGAUGUUGCUUGGCUCUGCUGAGAGGCUGCCACAUGGAAUGAGAACCGGAAUGCCUGAGUUGAGAAUUUGUAAGCGUGUUGGCGACUGUCCCUCCAAUAAAGUCUUGGAAGACUACGGCCCUGACCCGAAGUUUAGGGGUCUCCUUCAAAGGGCACUUUGCCAUCAUUGUCACUCUGACCAUUGUCCACCAGAGAGGUUGAGGCUGACCGUGCAUCCCUGCUCCUGAGAAAGGGGUGGCCGCUGUGCUGCCGGUACCAAAAUGACGCAUGCUCGCUGGAGUGCCCUGGCCCCCCCUGAUGCUCUGGUCCGGCCCUCUCCUGCUUGGGGCUGAUGGUCGCCAGGGGCCCUUCACCCCCGUGUACACCUUGGCUUGGUGUGUUUUUCUUUCUGGGUGGGAACGGAGGGCGGUUUCCCUCGGAUGGGAUGUGUACAGACGUCAAAUAAACCUGACAGAUGUCCAUAAAACAAAAAA